rnacentral:rRNA from 1 species
UACGAGAUGUAGAGAGGUCUCGUGGGCUCGGAGAUGUGUAUAAGAGACAGGGGCGUACCUUUUGUAUAAUGGGUCAGUGACUUAAUUUAUUAAGCAAGCUUAAGCCAUCUAGGUGUAGGCGCAGCGAAAGCAAGUCUUAAUAGGGCGAUUAGUUUAAUGAAUUAGACCCGAAAACGAAUGAGCUUACCAUGAGCAGGUUGAAAGUUGGGUAACACCAACCGGAGGACCGAACCAGUUGACGUUGAAAAGUCUUUGGAUGACUUGUGGUAAGGGGUGAAAGGCCAACCAAAUUCGUAGAUAGCUGGUUUUCCGCGAAAACUAUUUAGGUAGUGCGUCGAGUAAAUUGAUGUUUGGAGGUAGAGCACUAAAGGGGCUAGGGGAGAGAAAUCUUUACCAACCCUCAUAAAACUCCGAAUGCCAAACAUUUUACCUCAGCAGACAGACUGUGGGUGCUAAGGUCCAUGGUCGAGAGGGAAAGAGCCCAGACCACCAGAUAAGGUCCCAAAAUUAUGAUUAAGUGUGAAAGGAUGUGGAAAUUCCUUAACAGCCGGGAGGUUGGCUUAGAAGCAGCCAUCCUUUAAAGAUAGCGUAACAGCUCACCGGUCUAAUAGAGUUUCUGCGCCGAAGAUGUAACGGGGCUAAAAUCAUGUACCGAAUCUGUGGCUUUGCAAAGUUUUCGAACUUUGUAAGGGGUAGCGGAACGUUCUGUAAGCCUGCGAAGGGAUACCCGUGAGGGAUCCUGGAGGUAUCAGAAGUGCGAAUGCUGACAUAAGUAACGAUAAACGAAGUGAAAAACUUCGUCGCCGAAAAUCUAAGGGUUUCUAUGCAAGGUUAAUCCGCGUAGAGUUAGUCGGCACCUAAGGCGAGGGCGAAAGCCGUAGUCGAUGGAAACAAGGUUAAUAUUCCUUGACCUGAUGGUAGUGACGGAUUCCGUAAGUUGUGAGUUCUUAAUGGAUUGAACUUGCCGCGAAGAGGUCCCAAGAAAUAGCUCCAUCAUUAAGACCGUACCCGAAACCGACACAGGUAGAUUAAUAGAGUAUAUUUAGGCGCUUGAGAGAAUGAUGUUGAAGGAACUCGGCAAAAUGCUUCCGUAACUUCGGGAUAAGGAAGACCUGUUUUUAGGCAACUAGAGAUGGGUGGCACAAGCCAGGGAGAAGCGACUGUUUAUCAAAAACACAGGGCUCUGCUAACACGUAAGUGGAUGUAUAGGGUCUGACGCCUGCCCGGUGCUGGAAGGUUAAUGCGGUUGGUGCAAGCUAACUUCUGAAGCCCCAGUAAACGGCGGCCGUAACUAUAACGGUCCUAAGGUAGCGAAAUUCCUUGUCGGGU